rnacentral:sRNA from 1 species
UCGGAAUAGCUGACCCUCUUAUCUGUCUCCUGGGAGCCACCGGUCCCUGCAGCCUGGUGUUAUCUGCUGGGGGAGGGCUGCAGGUUUGAGGAUUUAGAAGUUCUAUGCAGGACGUCUCGGAGAUGGUGGGGAACAGGCCCCUGUUGGUGCCUCAUUUCUGAAGCUGAACCCCGACAGUGGACAUGUCUGCAAGAAACAUGGCGGUGGAGUAGUAUGCUUGUCCUCUCUGUCCAGAAAGCAUUCCAUUUCCUGAAUGCUUUGGCCAACCCUGGUAUUGGGGUGAGGACGGGAUGUGGGGUGUGGAGAUCGGCUUCAGUGCUGGGCUCGCGCUGCACUUCCAACGUCUUUGUGGGGGUGACAAUUUAGUGUCAACGCACCGAUGGAGUUUCCAAGACCCAGACUUGAGAACGCCUCAGGCCUGGGCUUCAGAGAGCUCUGAGGCCUACAGUGGCAGCCUCUGGCAUGAGAGUUGUUAAUCCACCAGAGGACGAGUUUAAAACAAACUACUCAGGAAUGAGGGCUAAUAAAGUCGAAGGAAGGAGCUGGCAUUUGCAAGAACAUUGCAGGAAGAGUGAGAUCAAGGAGACAGGAGGGAACUGCCCAAGGCCUGAGGUGGACAGAGGUGGCCCCUCAGCAAACUGGUCUGGACCGCACGCCUCCAUAUGGCCUACACCAAGACUUCCUACUUCCCUCCUGAAAUCCCUUCUGUGAAGAGAGAUUUAUCAAGACGAUGUGAGGCACCUGUGAGUUCUGGCAGCGCAUCCCUGUGGCUUUCCCAUGCUCCUGCCUCAUGCGUACUGAAGUAAACUCUGAGACGUGAUUGAUGCCAGUGACCCCUUCCCCACAGGAUGGACUUCAGCACUCCAAUACCGCUAACAACAUAUCAUUAGCAUUCCUGAGAGUGAUAAUUCUAGCUGUAUCCUGAGUGAAUUCUCACGGUGACUGCGACUGUGUCUACAGCAGAAUCCUCAUUUCCAGAGAUGUUUGGGUUAUGCGUCUGUCAGGGUUUAUUUCCUAACCUACAAAGCCGACACUCCCGGGGAAGGUAUCUUCUUUUGAUAUUGCUUUUGAUAGAAAGUCGGACUUAUACUAUUUCCAAAGAAAUAUAAAAAGGCAGGCAAUUCAUGAUUUCAAGGAUAGCAGAUCCGUGGCUACCUUGUUUUUAAAAUCCCUUGAUCAGUUUCAUGAUGACCUUUUGUGGAUGGGAUCCUGGAGAAUUCUCUGCCUUUUUGGUGGUAUUCAGGGAGUGUUGGUUCCAACAAGAUGAAUCAACAUUGGCCUCCUUGUGUCCUGCCCUAUCCCCCUCCCUCCCUCCCAUGCAGCAAUGGCACUCCAAAUUUUAUUUUUUUUAUGCUGGUUAGACACAUUCCCUUCACCUCCCUUCCCAUCCACCAUAAUAGAAUGCUCUAGCCAUGUGCCUUGAUGUCGAAGGUCAGACGGGACACACCUGUUGGACACAUCAGUCUUGCCAAAUACGAACCACAGAGGAAAACGAAGAAGACAGAUAGCAAACUGUUCCCUGGUAUAAGGAAGGGCUGUCUUAGCUUCAGACUGAGAGGUCAAGGAACUCGUCAUUGGAAGCUAAGCAGUCCUUCACAAGAAUGUGUGCUUGAGUGUCAGAUAUGGUACAUCCAUUCGGAGGCGACACAGCUAUGAGCCAUGGGGGCGGGGGGACACCGCAAGACCCAAAAUAAUAAUUUCACUGUGAAUCACGGGAAGCUUCGCUCUCGAAAUAAAAUCUUCCCAGCCGUGAUGUCAUAUAAUUACUAAUUAAAGCAAUUAUGUCCUCA